CUGAGAACUUCGGGUUGUCAGAAUUAAUAAGUUCGUCUCUACUGCAGUGCGUUUCAUAAUUUUGUCAAUGGCUUUGGCACAUAAAACCCACGAAUCUUUAUCUGCGAUAAUAAAAAAGCUUCGUAAUAUUUCAGGUUAUCUUUGGGCGCAGACGCCUGAACCGUGACGAAAAUACGCCAGCACCAACUAAGCGGAAGGCAAGUGUACAUAUUGUUGUCACUGUGUGGCUGAUAAUGAUUUAUUUCCAUUCCAGAGAAAAACGAGCAGAGACACACGAGAUGAAGAGUCACGUCAGGUUCCUUCACAGAGUGUAAGGCUUUUCUUUGGUCUAAUUUGUCAGAAUCUGAACAUACCAGUGAAUUGAACUAUGGAAAAUAGCCGGUGUGUGUCGUUAUAAGAACAAUGUAGCCGAUUAGUCACGAGAAAGAUUUAAGUAUGCUGCGUACCACAAUACGGGAACAUAUUUCGUUUGUUAAACAAGCUUGUCUUUGAGAACAAGAACUUAGCUAGUUGAUGUUUUGCCUACAAGUAACUUCACUUACUGGAAAUGCCCCAACUAGGUCUUUCCCGUGCUUUGAAGUUUUCAUAACUAUGUAGGCCAGCGGAAGUUCUGUCAAUGCAACAGGCUUAAAGCUAUUGAUGUGUUUUUACAGGUCACUUAUGAUGCACAAGCUUCCACAUUGACCUCUCUUUUGGACAGUUUGGAAUAUGUUGGAGAUAGUGCCGAGACAAUUCUAGAGAGCGCUUGUGCAUGUCAGGAAACAGAAGAGACUUCCCACAGUGAGCCUGCAGUGUUCACUGAUGCAUUUGAAAGUGAACCAGCUGCUGCAGCACACAUGGAAACCACAUCAUUCAACAAUGUUUUGGGGAAUGAAGAUGCUCACCGCAAUGAAGAUACGUUUCCCAGCUUUGGCACAGUUUGUGAACCAGAU